CAGGGAAAUGGGGAGUGCUCAGUGCUGCAGAGAAAAGAGCUCCUAUAGAAGGUGACAGCACUGUUGGUGUUAGUGGUUCUUCAAAGAUACUGAAGACAGUGCAGUUUUGGCAAGCGUUCUGCAGGAAGUUUUAGGCGUGGCUGUGAAUGCAUUGUUUUAGAGCCUUCUGAAAUGAUUGUGGUGGACUAUAUGGAUGAAAAUGAAGAAUAUUUUCAGCGUCAAGCUUCCCAUAGACAAUCUCGAAGGAGAUUUAGAAAAAUCAACCAGAAAGGUGAAAGACAAACAAUUAUUGACACUGUGGAUCCUUAUCCCAUGGGCAAACCUCCUUUGCCUAGAGGCUAUCACACGGAAUGCACUAAAUCUCAGCUUCCUGCAGAUUUCACAAAACUGCAUCUUACUGACAGUCUCCACCCACAGGUGACCCACGUUUCUUCUAGUCAUUCAGGAUGUAGUAUCACUAGUGAUUCUGGAAGCAGCAGUCUUUCUGAUAUCUACCAGGCCACAGAAAGCGAGGCUGGUGAUAUGGACCUGAGUGGGUUGCCAGAAACAGCAGUGGAUUCCGAGGACGACGAUGAUGAAGAAGACAUUGAGAGAGCGUCAGAUCCUCUGAUGAGUAGGGACAUUGUGAGAGACUGCCUAGAGAAGGACCCAAUUGACCGGACAGAUGAUGAUAUUGAACAACUCUUGGAAUUU
rnacentral:sRNA from 1 species